rnacentral:rRNA from 1 species
AGCGAACGCUGGCGGCAGGCCUAACACAUGCAAGUCGAACGGAUCCUUCGGGAUUAGUGGCGGACGGGUGAGUAACACGUGGGAACGUGCCCUUUGGUUCGGAACAACUCAGGGAAACUUGAGCUAAUACCGGAUGUGCCCUUCGGGGGAAAGAUUUAUCGCCAUUGGAGCGGCCCGCGUCUGAUUAGCUAGUUGGUGAGGUAACGGCCCACCAAGGCGACGAUCAGUAGCUGGUCUGAGAGGAUGAUCAGCCACAUUGGGACUGAGACACGGCCCAGACUCCUACGGGAGGCAGCAGUGGGGAAUCUUGCGCAAUGGGAGAAAGCCUGACGCAGCCAUGCCGCGUGAAUGAUGAAGGUCUUAGGAUUGUAAAAUUCUUUCAGCGGGGACGAUAAUGACGGUACCCGCAGAAGAAGCUCCGGCUAACUUCGUG